rnacentral:rRNA from 1 species
AUUGAACGCUGGCGGCAGGCCUAACACAUGCAAGUCGAACGAGUGGCGGACGGGUGAGUAAUGUCUGGGAAACUGCCCGAUGGAGGGGGAUAACUACUGGAAACGGUAGCUAAUACCGCAUACCAGCGGAUGGGCCCAGAUGGGAUUAGCUAGUAGGUGGGGUAACGGCUCACCUAGGCGACGAUCCCUAGCUGGUCUGAGAGGAUGACCAGCCACACUGGAACUGAGACACGGUCCAGACUCCUACGGGAGGCAGCAGUGGGGAAUCUUGCGCAAUGGGCGCAAGCCUGAUGCAGCCAUGCCGCGUGUCUGAAGAAGGCCUUCGGGUUGUAAAGUACUUUCAGCGGGGAGGCGUUACUCACCGAAGAAGCCCCGGCUAACUCCGUGCCAGCAGCCGCGGUAAUUC